rnacentral:rRNA from 1 species
CAAUAGCGUAUAUUUUAGUUGUUGCAGUUAAAAAGCUCGUAGUUGAAUUUCUGGUGAGCGAGAGUGGUCCGAUCAAUGAUUGGUGCUUGCUCUCGCUGGCCAUCCUUGGGUUUAGCCAGUCUGGCAUUAAGUUGUCGGGCUGGGGAUGCCCAUCGUUUACUGUGAAAAAAUUAGAGUGUUCAAAGCAGACUUAUGUCGUUGAAUAUAUUAGCAUGGAAUAAUAAGAUAGGACUACAGUGCUAUUUUGUUGAUUUGCGCACCGUGGUAAUGAUGAAUAGGGACAGUUGUGGGUAUUCGUAUUCACUUGUAAGAGGUGAAAUUCUUAGAUUAAGGGAAGACGAACUACUGCGAAAGCAUUUACCAAGGAUGUUUUCAUUA